rnacentral:rRNA from 1 species
GACGAACGCUGGCGGCGUGCCUAAUACAUGCAAGUUGAGCGCUGAAGGUUGGUACUUGUACCAACUGGAUGAGCAGCGAACGGGUGAGUAACGCGUGGGGAAUCUGCCUUUGAGCGGGGGACAACAUUUGGAAACGAAUGCUAAUACCGCAUAAAAACUUUAAACACAAGUUUUAAGUUUGAAAGAUGCAAUUGCAUCACUCAAAGAUGAUCCCGCGUUGUAUUAGCUAGUUGGUGAGGUAAAGGCUCACCAAGGCGAUGAUACAUAGCCGACCUGAGAGGGUGAUCGGCCACAUUGGGACUGAGACACGGCCCAAACUCCUACGGGAGGCAGCAGUAGGGAAUCUUCGGCAAUGGACGAAAGUCUGACCGAGCAACGCCGCAUGAGUGAAGAAGGUUUUCGGAUCGUAAAACUCUGUUGGUAGGGAAGAACGUUGGUGAGAGUGGAAAGCUCAUCAAGUGACGGUAACUACCCAGAAAGGGACGGCUAACUACGUG